AUAAUUCUAUAAUAUUAUUACUAAUAAAAAUACUAAUAUUUUUCUAAUACAAUUACAUUCAUAUAUAGUAUUUAAGUAACAGGGUAUUAAAGUUCAAGAUGUUGAUUGAUAUGAUGUAAUAAGAGAAUAUCUAUGACUAAUUAGAAGGCAAUAAUUCAAAAAUCAAACUAUUUAAAAACCUUUUUACAUAACAACAUUAAAGGAAAAUAUCUAUGAAGCAAAGAAUAUAUAAUUUUUUUUGAGACAAAAAGUGUACAGGUUAUCAAGAUAAAUUAAAUUCACAAAAACAUAUCAAAAGCCGAAAGUACUUGGGGAAUGAAGAAGAGCAUAAGGGGAUGCAUAUCAUGCAUCCUGCCAUACGGGACACUGGACGUGAUACGAAUAGUUCACUCCAAUGGCAGAAUUGAAGAGAUCACCACUCGCACCAUCAACGCUGCUGACGUCAUGAGAGUUUAUCCUAACCAUGUCCUCAAGAACUAUUCUUCCCCCAACCUUCUCAUCGUUCCUCCCCCACCUUGACCUCUGUCGCGACAACAUCUACUUUCUCGUUUCCCUCUCUCCCCUCCCAACCAACAUGCUGCAGUAGCAGAUCAGCAGCUCUCCUACCCCACUCACACAAGCACUAGCAGAUCCCGCACCCCGCAGUCUUACUCUCUGGAGGCCUCACCUUGACACCAUCUCUGAGUCCCCGCCGCCAUCCUCUCACCAUCUGUAACCGCUAACGGGUUUCCUUUAAACUUUUAGGUACAAACAUUUUUCUAACUGUCCAACUCUUCACAGUUCACAUAUGUGGCUGAUGAUUAUGUUGAUUGCUAUCUUCUUUUUUUCAUUAGUAAACAAAUUAAAAAAUUGGUAUCAGGGUCAAAUUAAUAAUUUUAAGAAUAUAACUCAUUUAAUCUAUGUCAUGUGUCAAAAAUCUAAUAUAUUAUAAUCUAUUCAACGAAUGGACCGUGCCGGGAUAUACCUAGUUCGCAUCAAUGUUUUUCAUGGAAUCCAGACACGUGUGCUUGAAGAUACUUUUUAUGUAAUAGUGUUAUGUACAUAUGUACAUAGGAUUAAGGAGGGGGCGGGGGCCUAACAUGGUGCUUAAUGUUGGCCCCAAUAGUGCUUCUUCAAGGUACAAUCUCACUUAUUCUACUUUGAGUAGAAAACAAGCCAUUUUUCAAUCCACUUGUUUAAUCAACUAAAUAAAACAGACCAAAAUAUUAUGAUAAAGAAAAAAAAAACAGACAAAGAAUAGUAAAUUUUUGUCAUACUUGUAUAUAAUAACAAACAAGUGUAACUACUCGUGUCAUGCACGUGAUAAGAUCGAAUAAAAUAUUAAAAUGAUAAUUAAAUAAAAACAGAAAAAUAGGAUUAUAAAAUUUGUAAAAAAUAAUAAUAAAUAAAGUAAACCUCUAAUAAAAUUUUCAUUAAAAAUUUAAAUUGUAAACAAAUUAAAAAAUUGGUAUCAGGGUCAAAUUAAUAAUUUUAAAAAUACAUUGGUACUUUAGUUUACUCUAUUGAACGAAUGGCAUCCAACAAAGAAAAAGUGAUGUUUCACCUAAGAAGGGUUAAGCUUUUGGUUGUACAUCAUGUGAUUUCCAUUUAACUGCAUUUCUCAUACAUAAUUGUGCUUAGUUGCUUAGUGCUUUAUGUAAUUUGCCAACUUAUUAAAUAUGGAAGAUAAAUGCAAGUGAGUUUUAGAAUAAAAAAUGUAGGGAGAGAAAAAAUAUAUAUAAAGAGAAAAGAAGAAAGCGUAUGUAUUGUGGGUAGGAAAUGGAAGGAUGUGGAGAAUGAAGAAGAGCAUAAGGUGAUGUAUAUCAUGCAUCCUACCAUGCGGGGCACUGGACGUGAUCCGAAUAGUUCACUCCAAUGGCAGAAUUGAAGAGAUCACCACUCGCACCAUCAACGCUGCUGACGUCAUGAGAGUUUAUCCUAACCAUGUCCUCAAGAACUAUUCUUCCCCCAACCUUCUCAUCGUUCCUCCCCCACCUUGACCU
rnacentral:lncRNA from 1 species